rnacentral:rRNA from 1 species
GGAAUCUUGCGCAAUGGGCGAAAGCCUGACGCAGCAACGCCGCGUGCGGGAUGACGGCCUUCGUGGUUGUAAACCGCUUUCAGCAGGGACGAAAAUGACGGUACCUGCAGGAGAAGCUCCGGCUAACUACGUGCCAGCAGCCGCGGUAAUACGUAGGGGGCAAGCGUUGUGCGGAAUCAUUGGGCGUAAAGAGCUCGUAGGCGGUUCAGUAAGUCGGGUGUGAAAGCUCCGAGCUCAACUCGGAGAGGCCACUCGAUACUGCUGUGACUAGAAUCCAGUAGGGGAGUGUGGAAUUCCUGGUGUAGCGGUGAAAUGCGCAGAUAUCAGGAGGAACACCAGCGGCGAAGGCGGCACUCUGGGCUGGUAUUGGCGCUGAGGAGCGAAAGUGUGGGUAGCAAAC